CCCUACAUAUGCAGGAACAUUUGAAAAGUUCUAAACGAGAUACCAAUUCACAGAUCAGAGUGUUUCUUUACGCAAACGAUCCCCUCUUAAUCGCCCUAACACUUGGACCAGAGCCGAAGAAGUUUCAGCUUAACGCGAAAUACCGUGUUCCAGGGUGGCUGUGUUUGUAGCCUCCCGUCGUUCUACGUGGAUGAUACCCAGCAGGACAGUUUUUAAUCACCGUAAGUGGAUCUACAUAGAGCUCGCAAUUACCAGGGCACACUCCGGGCAUGGGCCCCUUGUGUAUCAGCCACCCUCGAACCGGCAGAGCCGUGCCAGCUCGAGUGUUUUCCCCAUUUCGCAUCCCUCUCUCUGCCAUCCCCUUCCUCGACCCGAGAAUUCUUCGUCAGGAAGUGUUAUUGCCCAUUCGUUGCUUUUUGAUCUUUCCUAAGUCUUUCCGUUCAUGCAGCACUUUGUCUCCGGGAGACGAGAAUAUUUUUGAGGUUAUCUUUUGCUUUCGUUUUUCCUUAGCUAUUCUAUUUUCUUUAUGACUUUUGGGGAUACGCAAAAAUUUCCAUCGUCCUUACAUGGAUAACCUAACCUAACCUCAAUUUUUCUUAAAAGAAAAUAUUUACUACUUCAAGAAACAAAGACAGAUGUCAAAAAGCAUAAUUAAUUUGGCAUAGAGCCUUCAACGAAGAAACCAUACAUAUGCACCCACAAAUCAACCUCUUGGCCCAGGAGUUAACUGAUGUAUGCUCGACUUGUCGGCAUUAUGUAUGCUCGCAGGUUGCCCGAAACGUUAAUGGAGUUGUAAUUCAUACGGAAUGACAUGUGACUCAGAAACAGCGAAACGUGUCGCCACGCGACACAGUGCACCCCACACUCGGAUGUCAUCGAUGGGAUGCAGCAUCGUGAACAGAAGCGAGUCGAGGGUGAACAGGCCUGGUGGACCAACAAUCAAGGGACGCUCGUUGCUCUUACGCGGUCGUAAGGGACUGAAUUCAAUUGAAAGAAGUGGAACGCGAUCUGGCUAGGAGAGAUUAAUUCAAUAGCAGGGUCAUUAAGAACGAUCUGGGUGUCUGCUGGAAUGCAGGUUUACGAGGUUAUGUCAUUAAUCUAUUAGCAUGGAGAUUUAUUAAGAUGGAACUUAUGAAUCGACUGGAGAUUAAUAUUAAAGCCUAUCAGUAUUAUCAAAUGGUCCUUUAUAUACUGGAAUUUCUACAAAACCUUGUGAACUCCACCAAAAGCCCCAAACCACGUAACAAAAGGCGACAGAGCGGGUGGCUAGCAAUUUCGAGACAGACAGUCUUGGAGAGAUGCGGAAAAUCAACAUGGAUUUCUUUUCCCAUUGGGACAAAGUUGAGUACCGACACGCAGGUCAAUUUGAAGUAGGGUGAUCGAGGGACAGAAACAAUUCUGACAAAGGGUCUUCCUUCCUAGGGAACAAAAGGGCCAAUAAAACAAACUUAUGAAAAGAAGAAAAAUUUUACAAUUAAUUUUCUGUAAAUGUAUGGAGUUUCAAUACACCUGGAGGAUAGCCACGAAUUAGGGAAGAUUCGAACUGAGUAAGGGCUACCCUUCGUCAUGGCAAACCUCCUUGGAAAUGGCGGUCUGCCCGUGCUGCCGCAAACUACUAGAAAAUUGAUAGUAACUUCCUACUGAAUUAUCAUGUGUUCAUAUACCUUCCUGCUUAUAAUCUCAUACAAUAUCUAACUCGAUUUGUCUUUUCAUUUGAACAGAUGAUAACAAAUUACGAGGCAAAUUAAUAAAUUAUUGUAUUGUGUAUUUAUAAACAGAAUGAAAUGUUACAAAAACACAAAAUUAGCUAAAUUGCUUAUGAAUAAUAUGAAUGUUGGAACAUUUUAAGAUCUUAUUAUAGAAUUUCAUUCAACUACUACUAGAUUAUAGUUCAAGUACGUGCCGUUUCGAAGUCGUAAUAAAUUUAAUCUUAGCAGAGCUGUUCCGAAGUACCACACAAUGUGGCACCACUGUCGUUUCGUCGAGCGUUAACCUUAGUCUCUGAUUGGCAAUCAUCAUUAUUAUUACAGGAGAUCAGGAUCAAGAAAUAUAGUUUCCUGACAGCUGAUAUCACAUCCAUAACGAACAUAAUCUUAAAAUUAUGUAUGAUUUAACUUUGAAAUAAAAUAAUAUUGAAAUGUAUUUCUUCUUUUCUUUUGUAAUUCAAUUGAAGAAAUCUCAGGGCAGCUUUUGAUAAACAUAACCUUAAAUUUUAAAGGGUUUCUCACUUUCUAAUGAAAAUAGGAAGUUGUUGUUCGUGAAAAAUGGUGAAGAUAAUAAAUUUCAUCGGUUCGAUUCGGGAGGAGAAUCUCCAAGAAGUUCAAGUUAAUCCGUCAGAUGCAUUAGACGAUAUAAUCCAUCAAGUAGCGACUCGCAGGUAACCGUGAAAACGAAAAUGGAGCUCGUAAUGCAAUUACACGGACCGUGUUCCGCCAUCACCCUUGUCCCUUCGUUUUAUCCCUCCAUUUUGUGUGACACACUGGAUGGGAGAAUUCCGAAGUAAACGCAGGACAAAGAAAAUCUUCUUUAUGACUUUGAUAACACGAAUCGCUCCGUCCAGCUUUCAGUUACUUAAGAUUUCAAUGGUCUUCUUGAAUGAAACAUUGACUUACUUGGACUCUAGCCUCCGUCAGGUCGAUCUUCAUGGCGAUUUCUUCU